UGUUUACUAGUGAUGAGUUGCACAUUCUGUGAAGUCGACAUAUGUGGUGUAGACUCUAACAGCUGAAAGCCUUGCUGAAGGUUCUGUGUAGACCAAAUCAGGUGCACAGGGGCCAUCUGAAGUAUC